CCGGAUGCCCUCCCUUCUGCCCCUCAAACAGACGUAAUCUGUGGAUCAGAGAGGCAGGCGCCCAGUCAGUGCGUGGACUUGGUGUCGGAUGAAGAAGAUGGGAGUAAGAAUAAAAAUUAAAAAUUAAAAAUUAAAAAAAGAAAAGAAAUACUCCCCGCUGCAGAAUCAGAAGAAACUGCGAUCAGCGCCCCCGCGACAGGAGAAUGAGUCCUGCUGCUUCACCAGCAGGGUGAAUGGAAAUCUUGUGAGUAUGCCAUCAUGUCAAAUGCAUAACCUAAAACGGGGAUGUGGUGUUUUUUUGGUUAAUCCGGUGCAGUCGGCGCAAAACCGGCGGUUUAGUUAAAAAGAAAUGAUGCAUCUUUUUUAUAUAUGUGCGUUUUUGUAAUAAAGUAUGAAUGAGCUGAUUAAUACGUGGCUGGAUGUUAAACUCUGUGGCGGUGUGUGAUGUACUCCGGGUUGUCGCUCGGUACUAUCGAGGCGGCUUUAGCUCUCAAUGCCACUCAUUUCUUCUUCUGGGCAUCCGUGUGACUAAAGGAAGAGAAGGGGAAAAGGGCGAUUUCCGAUUGCUUUGGCAAGUAUGAAUCCUUUUAAAGCGCACUUCAGUUAAAAAAAACGCUCUCGCAGACGCGUCGAUUGCACACAGUGGGCAGACAAACGCUGCCCUCCCUUCUCGGAAAGUUUUAACGGUGUGUUUAAAAGAGCUCAAAAGAAUCACGCCGAGAGGCUUCAGUGCAGCAUAACUUUGACUGCUUUCACUCAGCAGACAGUCUUUCGUUCACACUGAGGCCUGAAAGUCGGCUGAUAAAUGGUGUCUAUUAUUUUUCCCAGCCGAACAAUGCGUACCGGCUUUGUUUGGACCAUCUGUCAUUGUAUCGACAUUACAGCCAGCCCCCCUGCCCCACAAAGAAUCCUGAGUGGGAGACACCUGAAGCGCAGACAGCAGACGGCGGUCGUUCAGAGCCGCCACCCGUCUCUCGCCAAGCCGUGACUCAUGGUGUGGUCCGUCUGAGUGGAUGGGUGCGUAACGCGGCCACAAAAUAAACAGGCGCUGGAACAAAGUGUUGCAACUGAAACAUGAUUUGUUUUUGGGGAAGGGAUUCCACAUCAUGCACGCGUGUCUGCUGAUGUGUGGUUUAUCCUCAGAUGUACGCUGGGACUGGAAUAGUGCAAGUAGAGAAAAGCGUUUGCUGUAUUUGCGCAUCCUGAAUUCUCGGAAACAGCUUGUUGCGCAUCUGACUUCCUCCCGGAAUUUUUGGGCCUUCGGCACAUGGCGAAAAAAACAAAACAGCCAGACUGCCAUUUUCAGGGUGGGCACACACACACACACAGAUACAAAUAAACACACUCCAUCACAAGCACUGCACACUCAGUUUGGGGCAUAGAGGCCUGAUAAGCAGCACAGCUUUGACCCUCCAGUUAGUUGAAUGCAGCUGAGGCCAGGAGACUUCAGAAACUGCACUGCUUAGCUUAUAGACACGUGGUACCAAGCACUAAUAUGCCUUAAGGUUAAUGAGGCAGUCUCCAUAAAUUCUUUUGCCAUCUGGAUAUAGUAGGUCUAGACGCUUAGUGCAGCACUACAUUUUACCCACUAUAGAUUACUCACAGAGUGAUUUGAUGAAAAAAAAAUCAAUGGAAUUGAAGAAAAAACAUUUACCUACUGCCGAGAGCCAUUUAACUGCGUGUACUUUAAUUUCUUUUACAUAAAUUAGUGGGAAAAUCUGUCUCAGUAAGCCGUGUGGUGGAAGAACACUCCUGAUAGGCACUGAUGUGAUCAGCUGUGAUGGCCUGCUUCCAUCCCUGUCAGGACUGAGUUACAUUUAAUUCACUUUAGCCGUGUCCCCUGUGAAGUAGAAAAAGCUGCUCCCUCACAUUACAGAGCAACCAAUGUCCGGGUGCAUAGCUGUUUAAUUCGGUUUCAGAGAGUUAUCGGGGUGGGAUAAGUGAACGGAGCAAAGCCAGCGUCUUCCUGCCGCUGUAAUGUGGACGCAGGGGCGGUUUUGAUGUUGGCUUAUCUUAUCUCCUGCUUGGAUCUAUGAUCAUCAUUCCUGCAUAGCUCAUUAUCACAUAUGAUGAGUUUCAUCAGCUGCACCCUGCAAUUAUGUUGAGAAGCAACCUGCUAUCACAGCGGAGAGGCUCUCAGCCACAGAUCACUGUUGUUCCUCCAUUACACGGCAUCUAUUUCUCAACAGAGUCCGCAGAACAGUUCCAAUUAAACAUUAUUGUUGCUUUAGUUUGUCUCUGUCGGUGGAAAUGCAGCGAUGGCACAGGGGAUCAUCAUCAGCAACAGCAGCUGGGGUUCGCCGAUUCGUUCAUUCUGGCUCAAAUUCAACUCCUGGAUGACGAAAGUGUUGAGGAUAGCACAGCUCAGUUCAGCUGCACUCAUUCAGCACGACUGCCUUUUUUUAAAUAGCAAAAAACUAGUUACAUCUUGUAUAUUUUUAUAAAUCCGUCUCUGUCUAAGGAUCCAAAACAGCCAAUACAAUACAAUCUCACAACUCCUGUGAAGAAACCUUGCGGUAUGUCCAUGCAUCUCAGCUAAAUGGAAGUUUAGGCCUGAAUGCGUUCAUAUCAACAGGAUCCUGUGUGUGUUUGUUCUUCCCCUGUGUGUGUGUCUGAUUGGGUAAUGGGUAAAUGGAAAGGCUAGGUAAUGGAGACCCCUGCACCCUGCCUUAGGCAUUGUGACAUACUGCGUGUCUAGAUGAGUGUAUGACCUCUAACCUCUUGUCUAGCCAACAGCUCAGGUCCGCUUGGGUCAAGCCAGGUGGCUUUCAAAAGCCUACUGGCCCGUUCACAAGCAGAUGACAUUUAAACUCUUUGCACGUCGGCUGAUCAGCAGCAACAUUAAAGCCACUUGCCAUAACAUUGUGAACGCCCACCUUGUCUUGCACCAAUAUUGCACCUCUUGAUGGGUGGGCCUCCAGGAUUGUUGGACCUUUGUCGUGUUUCUCAAGCUGUUCCUGAGGAGUUUUUGCCGCAUUGUGGUGGACGCCGCUGCUAUCAGGGAAUACCCUCGCUGUGGUAGGUACACUUGAUCUACGACCAUAUUCGGAGGGGUUUGAAAUGCAGAUCAACGCACAUCUCAGAGGAACGAAACAGUCCAAAAUAAGAUCUACUUAAUUCAGCCUUUUCCUUACUUCUUAAAUUCAGCUCCCGAGAAAUGGCCUUUCUCUCGCAGCAGCUCAAAAUCCCAAAUUAAGAUCUUAAAAUGCUUUUUUUCUUCUCUCUGCGCUGGCCGUUUGUUUAUUUGAAAUGACUAACCCAAGAAAAGAGUAAGAAUCAAUCACAUAUAUAUGAUUGGACUGCACAAUAUCAGAAAUCAGUCUCAGUGAUCGAAAUCGAGCCUUUGAGUCUCUGUGCAUUUUAUCUCCUGCUUUUCUUGCGUUUCUCCUGCUAUUAUCCAACUGGGCAGAAUAAUUGGUCUUAGCUUGAUUUAUUAUUUUGCUCUUCUUAUGGUUCUGAGAGGAGACAAAGACGAGAGGAGACAAAGAAAAUGGUUGUCUGGCUUUGUGUUACAGGUAAAUUUAUAGAGUAGUAGUCGUGGGAAAUGCUGAUUAUGGGGCUAAGAAAACAAGUUAAACAUCUCUGGAAUAAUCAGAUUUUCUCUCAUGCCUACAUAUUUUUUUUCCCCCAAACAGCCUGAUUCUUCUUCUGCUUUUAUCUUAAAGGGUCAAAGUGUAGUUGACCAAUAAAGAUAUGAGAAACAACAGAUUUAAAAAUCCAGACGCAGAUCGGCUAAUCUGCUCGUUUUUUCCACGUCGUGGUUGCGGUGUUUAAUCUCAAACUACCGUAAGACACAAACUAGCCUUGAACCUGUCGCUGCUGAGAGAAACAGCCCGUCUCCAUUCUGUCACUACAUGCUCUCUAUUGUAUCUCUGCACAAGAAACUCCCCAUUGGAAAUUUUGGAAUCUUUCCCAUUGUUCCUAAAGGAAAGGGGGCUUUCAUAUGGAAGUGGGGAACGCCAGGAAAUGACUGGCAUUCUUUGUGGACAAUUUGAAAAUAAACUUGUGGGUCCUCACUUCUCUCUCAACAGCCAAGCACAAAACUAGAAAUUAGAAGUGAGGGUCAUGGUGUUAACAAUUCCCUCUUUCUUGUGUUUGCUGCUGUAAUUUGUCCCCAAAUGUAUAUUUUCUUCUACUGGAGAUGCGCCACCGCAGUUUCCGCUUUUUGUCGAGAGCUUUGCACUCUCUUCUCGACAGUUUCUUGAAUGGACGCAUUCUCUCUGUCUUUUUUUACUUUUCCUUUUCCUUCAGUAUUUGUCCUUAUUUUGCCUUAUCUUCCCCCCGCCUGUCUUUAAACACAACCCCGCUGCUUGGGCUCUGCUUUAUGAGGUGUGACAGUUAAAGUCUGGUUGCCGAGGCAGGCCGCGUGGACUGGAACGUAAAGCUUUGCAUUCAGCCGGCUGCAGCCGGGUUUGUGGAGGACUUAAACUCACUUCACCCCUAUACAGUACCUCGUAUACAGGAACUGCCUUCAUUAUGCUGAGCUGGCAUGAAAGUGCAGAACUGGAAGGAGGGGAGAGCGGGGAGAGGGAAAAAAUAACACUUUAACCUCGGAGCUCGUAGUUGAACACAUGCAGUUGCUACCUUUGAAGGGAAAAACUGAAAGAAGAUUAAAAGCAGAUGUUAAUUGAAUUAAUUCAUCACUUCAGCUGCACAAAGUUUAGCCUCUUUUUUUUUUCUUGUGUAUUUUGGCUAAAAGUGUUCAUAGCUCUCUCUCACUGCUUUGAUUUAAUACUAAACAGGCUUUCUCAGACGAUCAGCCUCUCCACCCCACAGAUUGACACUCACACCUUACCCUCCUCCUCAAACUCCUCUUGUUGUUUUUCCCACCGGGCCAGGGGUAGUUCCCAGGUAUUUGACCAGUCUAGCGUAGCAGGGAGGCUGGUUGUUGUGUCCUCUGUGAGACAAAGGCAGCGUGCCUCAAGUAUAGGGAUGAAAGGAAACGGGGCUGUGCAGCCACUCAUUUUUACAAUGGGAAACCUCCUUAGCGAGGCUGUAGGGCAAAUGACCACCUUCUCUCUUCCUUUUCUUUAACAAGCACCGAGGCUGAGAGCGUGUCUCUAUCUUUUUUCUUUUUGUAGUAGGAGGAGCAGCGCCGCGUAUAUACCUAUAGAUGUGAGUUUGUGUGCGCGUGUAAAGGAGGAAGGGAUAUCCUUUGUCUCUGCGCAGAGUGCUUUUUGAGCUUUCGCUUCCUUACACCUGCUCAGCUGACAGAUGGUGCUUCGCUGCUAAAAGAUGAACCAGCAACCGAGGUUGAAAUUGUUAAAAGAUGGGUGGGGGAAAUUUAAGGGAGAUAUCAGAAAAAUAAAUACGUAUGCCAUUUAAAAAUGUUGCUGGAUCCUCUCUUCAGUAAAAGGGGACACGGACAUUGGGUGUUUUGCUUUCUUCAAAAUUGAAGGAAUUACCUUCAAUUACCAGUAAGAAAAAAAAGAAAGAAAUAAAAGCCACUUUUAAGAUAUUAAAAGCAACAAAAUCUGUUCAACUUCACAGUGUUACAUUUAAGGCUCGAUAAGGGCUGUAGGACAUUUUGGCGUCGGUGAGUCUAAAAACCUAAAAACAUACAAUAUGAUGUGAAAAUGCCUUUAAUUUUAUGAGCAAAUGAUAUAUUUUUUCAUUAAAUCUUCUAUAUUAGUCCUCAGUGUAGUGUUGUCAGGAGGGGCGGGGGGUGGGAGCGGAAGCCGCAGGAGUCUUUUAUGGCUCCAGGUCCAGAGACAACCUGUUCUCAGGCACUUCUCUCCUGGCACUUUUUUAUGACAUCAUAAAUUCCUCCAUUUCCUCUGACCAGCCCUAGGUGGGUAUAAAGGACGUACCUGGCCAGUAAUUGUCUGUCUGGCCCUCUCAUCUGUCGGAUUCCUAAUGCUGCUGGUGACCUCCUCCAGAGCCAGACUCUCAGACUGCCUCAGGAUACAGAGAUCUCUUAGAUCUGCACCGUGGACCAAUAAAAACUGUAGUUUAGUUUAUUUGUUGAGUGAUCGAAAAAAAAGAGUGAGAGAGAAGAAGAAACAAAAAAGCUUGUUUCUAGUUCAUUUAGAUUAGCAACGAGAGUCAGCCUGGCACCCACAUUAUGGAGGCCUCUCUGCGUGCAUGUGCUCUUCAGACCGUCAACAUCAACCCACUCCCACUCUCAGACCUGUUGAUACCUUUUGUUUGUUGAAAUCUGAGGACGAACAGCAGAAAAGAAGGGAUUAGGGGAAGAAAGACAAAGUUUUUUUUUUCUUUCUUUUUUUUUGAGGGAAGGGGGCCCAGAAACACUCAGCGCUCACAUUAAUCUGACGCUCAGCUCGGCUGGCCUCAGGGAGGCUCGAACAAUACACACACCAGCAUGACAACAUUCCUGGAGGUUAAAAAGGUCAGGGGUCACCCAGUGACCCCACCCUGCCAAUCAGUUCCAGGGCACUAACUCGGGGCCUUUGUUUUUGCUUUAUGUCUUUGCACUUGUUGAACAGACUCUGAGCCUUAUGUUACAAUGUGCCCUUUGCUCUCUAAUAGACUGGAUUGGCACGGAGCACUUUUACGUUUGUUAAGUCAGUUUUGGCUUAGAUAAUAAUCAUUUUUUUAAAAACAGGGAGGGGGCUGCGAAGAAGGAGAGCGUAGCAGUGUUUCAUUGCUGCAGCUUCGGGGUUCAGAGGCUUAAAUGCAAAACAGAACAUGGAGAAAGAAAACACAUUAGCCCGAGGCUGCAAAAUGUGCACAUUGACUUUAAAAAGCUUUGGCCAGGUUUGCUUGGCAGUAUACUUUUUAAUAUUAUGUCUGUAGCCUAUGGCGCAUACUAUAACCCAGCCAGAUGUUUGGCAAGCCCACAUCUAUAUAUGGGAGCAAAAGGAACCACGGCAAAGCAGCCAAGCUGUAAUUAUUGUCCAUAUUUUCAAUUGAUUUAUGCCCAUUUUAUAUAAUCAGCCCACCCGGGUCACUUAUUAGUCCAACAUAGGCAACGUCGAUGCUCAAAGUUGUAUUUUUCCUUCCUCAUGGAAAAUCCAGCUUCGUUUUUUUUCUUCUUCUUCUUCUUCUUCUUCUUUUUUUUUGCAAACAGCACAGCAGACUUCAAAUAAAGUCUGCGAGCCGUCAUUAAAGUGGAGCGUAUGCAUGUGUAGGCAUGGAGUGGCAUGUGAGGCCCCUACGGGGAGACUGCAGGUCUGUUAGUCAUUAUGACUGAAUGUACAGUAUACACUGGAGUGGACACGCAGCUACAUUAAAGCCUCACCCACGGCCACAUUGGACCACCCCAGAGACACACCGCUGGCACUUCCUCUGCUCGCUUCCAUCGCUCAGCCUCAAGGGAAGUGCGUUUAGGGAUUUCCUGAGCAAACUCGGGGCAAUUAAUCGUGGGUUGAUUAGGAAACUUUCUAGUGAAAAUCCAAUUAAUUGUAAGAAAACAUUGUACUCUUUUCCUUCUUUUUUUUGUGUUUGUUGUUCUGUGCAUUGAAAUAAACACCCUCCCGUGUUUUCUUGUCUUCUAGGUUUUCCCACCCGGCUCCGUGAAGAUGAUUUCAGUCAGAUGCUGUUACGAGCAAUUUUCAUCUGAAGAUGAAAGACUUCGUGUUCCUCUGAUUAAUGAGGUGGUAGUAAAGCUCUAAAGCAGAGCCUCUCAGCUUAUGCUCGAGCUUAAGUAUGCUUCGUGAUGCUUUUGUGUGUGUGUGUGUGUGUGUGUGUGUGUGUGUGUGUGUGUGUGUGUGUGUGUGUGUGUGGGACAUAACCAGAACUGUCAUUGCCCUGAGGACAGCGGACUCAUUCUGCCACUGUCUUGUGUCGUUAUGUCCUCUCGUUACGCAACCUGACCUCUGUGGUUCUGAGCAUCGUCCCCGUCCCCCUGUCCCAUGCCUGUCUGACUGGCUCUCCUCCCUCCUCUUCCUCCACACCCUGCCUCCCGUGUCAGCUCGGCUCACGGUCACAGCUGCCGUCCUUCCUCGCCUUGCUUGCCUCGGUGAACAUUCAACGCUGUCGGUGAGUUUGGUAUGGACACAAAAAACCAUCGACCGUUGACUGUGCCCCGUGGUUCGCUCCGACGACGUCAGGAACGAGCGAAGGAAGAAAAAAAAAAAAACGAACAAAGGGGCAAAGUGGCUGCAUGCAAAUCCGGUGACGAGAACAGACGCACACAGCCGCGCCGCACACAAAAGUGACACUCUGUUUCCACUGUACCCGAAGACCUAAGGUCACAAUCAACAUUCAUUGCUGUCGCUGGGUUGGACUGUGUAGAAAAGCUCACUGAACAAUGAGUGCAACUGUGGCCCAGAUCUGCCUGACUCGCGUCUCAGCCAAUCAGUCGGCCGGAUGUGAGGCACUCUGAUUAUUUUAUUUAUAUACUUCUUGUUUUUCACUUCUAUUUUCUCCCUCCUUCCUCCCUCCCCGGUGCUGGGAGUCUUAAGGGGAAAGAGAAGGAGAGAUAGAGACACAAAUAGACUCCUGGCUGCUUGCUUGUCCUCAUCCUCCUCUCCUCUAAUUGAUGGUUAUGUGUGCAGCAAGGGGGAAGGAAGCGGAGUGAAUGUGUAAUCAUUUGGAGUCUCUUCUCCUUUAGAUGUUUCAUCCCUCUCUUUUUUGUUUGUCUAAUUAUACACUGAGCUGAGUUAACUCUGCGUUAACUGUGCGCCUGUGCUGGCAAGAGAGACGGGCCGAUGGAGAGGGAGGACAGGGAGAACAAAAACUCCAGAAAGCUUACAGCAGUAGAUAAACGAUUAUCUAGUUUUCACUAGAUUUUGCUCGAUGUUUCCCCUCAUGCAAACGUGCUGGGAGAAGGAAGGAAAUUCUGGCUGUAUAAAGUCGAUUGUUUCCACCUUUCUCACCGAGGAUGCCUCAUUAUCUGUGUUUGAGUUUCAUGAGAGGUUUCCUGCCUGCCCCUGUUUGUUUGUGUGUGUGCGCGCUGGCUAAGAUAGAGGACCUGUCUGGUGAUCUCACGGUGCAAUAUGUCAUUUUCCUUCUAUGCUAAAGCCUGCUGUCUCAUGGGGAGGAAAAAAAAAAGCAGUCUAUAACCUUGUCUUCCUUCGCAGUCUGGGACCGGCCACACCGCUGCCAUUUCUCAUUGUAGCCGCCUGCAACGACUUCUGUAAUUCAAGUAAGGUGAACCCAAAGCUCACACAUGUGAUGUAUGGAUGUAAGAAUAUGUUUGUGUCACUGAUUUGUCAAUUAAACUAAUAAAGUUGAAUCAGUUCA